rnacentral:rRNA from 1 species
UGAGGAAUUUUGGGCAAUGGGCGAAAGCCUGACCCAGCGACGCCGCGUGGAGGAUGAAGGCCUUCGGGUCGUAAACUCCUGUUCUGGGGGAAGAAAACGGGAUGCGUGAAGAAUUCAUCCCGCUGACGGUACUCCAGGAGAAAGCUCCGGCUAAUUACGUGCCAGCAGCCGCGGUAAUACGUAAGGAGCAAGCGUUGUCCGGAUUUACUGGGCGUAAAGAGCUCGUAGGCGACCGAUAAGAUCCUGCGUAAAAUCCCCCGGCUCAA